GCCUCCAGUGGUGCAACGGGUCUGUGCGUCUGACUGUUAACCAGAAGGCUGGUAGUUCAAGCCCACCCAGGGACU